ACCAUCCUAGUCUUGGGGUGAAACGGGAAACUCAAUGAGCGUCUAGCGAGAGUUCCCUGCUGACACCAUUACCAACACAUUCGCAUCUCCUAAACUUUAUGUUUAGGUUACGGUGCAAUUUUUGGAAAC
rfam:Oryzias latipes DNA, chromosome2, strain: Hd-rR.